GGGGGACAGGGUGACAGGUGGUGCAUGGUUGUCGUCAGCUCGUGUCGUGAGAUGUUGGGUUAAGUCCCGCAACGAGCGCAACCCUUGAUCUUAGUUGCCAGCAUUCAGUUGGGCACUCUAAGGUGACUGCCGGUGACAAACCGGAGGAAGGUGGGGAUGACGUCAAAUCAUCAUGCCCCUUAUGACCUGGGCUACACACGUGCUACAAUGGAUGGUACAAAGGGCAGCGAAGCCGCGAGG
rnacentral:rRNA from 1 species